GACGAACGCUGGCGGCGUGCUUAACACAUGCAAGUCGAACGCUGAAGCCCAGCUUUCUUGGUGGCUUAGUGGCCAACGGAUGAGUAACUCGUGGGCAACCUACCCCUGACUCUGGGAUAAGCGCUGGAAACGGCGGCUAGUACAUGAUAUGUCCCGUCACCGCAUAGUAGGCGGGUGGUAGAAUUUUUCGGUUGGGGCUGUGCGUGCGGCCUAUCCGCUUGUUGGUGAGGUUAUUGCGCACCAAGGCGACGACGGGUAGCCGGCCUGGGAGGGUGACCGGCCACAAUGGGACUGGGGCACGGCCCAGACGGCUACGGGAGGAAGGAGUGGAGAAUAUUGCAAAAUGGGCGGAAGCCGGAAGCAGCAACGCCGCGUGGGGGAUGACGGCCGUCGGGGUAGAAACCUGGUUUAGCAGGGAAGAAGAGAAAGUGACGGUACCUGCAGAAAAAGCAACGGCUAACUACGUG
rnacentral:rRNA from 1 species